rnacentral:rRNA from 1 species
ACGAACGCUGGCGGCGUGCUUAACACAUGCAAGUCGAACGAGGCAGCAAUGCCUAGUGGCGGACGGGUGAGUAACACGUAGGUAACCUGCCUUGUAGUGGGGGAUACCCAUCCGAAAGGAUGGCUAAUACCGCAUACCCUUUGUCGUUGUAAUACGGCUCAGGAAAGAUUUAUCGCUAUGAGAGGGGCCUGCGUAUGAUUAGCUAGUUGGUGAGGUAACGGCUCACCAAGGCGACGAUCAUUAGCUGGUCUGAGAGGACGAUCAGCCACACUGGAACUGAGACACGGUCCAGACUCCUACGGGAGGCAGCAGUGGGGAAUUUUCCGCAAUGGGCGAAAGCCUGACGGAGCAACGCCGCGUGGGUGAUGAAGAUUUUCGGAUCGUAAAGCCCUUUCAGCAGGGACGAAUACAAUGACGGUACCUGCAGAAGAAGCAUCGGCUAACUACGU